rnacentral:rRNA from 1 species
UACGGGGGGGGCAAGCGUUGUUCGGAAUUACUGGGCGUAAAGGGCUCGUAGGUGGCCAACUAAGUCAGACGUGAAAUCCCUCGGCUUAACCGGGGAACUGCGUCUGAUACUGGAUGGCUUGAGUUUGGGAGAGGGAUGCGGAAUUCCAGGUGUAGCGGUGAAAUGCGUAGAUAUCUGGAGAAACACCGGUGGCGAAGGCGGCAUCCUGGACCAACACUGACACUGAGGAGCGAAAGCCAGGGGAGCAAACGGG